AUGGAAAACAGGCAACAGCAAGGCAGCGAUAAUUUAAUAUCGCCGGACAAUAAUGAGCAACCUGUAGUUGCAGUGUUUGACAGAGUUUUUAAUGCAUUUCAACGUGCCAGGCGAGAAUUAAUGGCUACCACAUCUUCAAAUGGUACUGACAACAUUUUGACUGCAACAAGAACUCUUUUCAGGAGACGCAGAUAUCAAGCUCAAGGCACAUCCACUGGAAGAGGCCGUUCAAGCUGGCAGGUGGGCCUCUUUCUCCUCCCAGGACCAGAUCUUCAAAAACUUCCAUCUUUGUCUGACCGGCAUGCCCUGACAAAUAAUGGAUUAGGAGUUCCAGCGAAGGAGAUCGCUGAUUGUCAACUGUCUACAAUUGAUUUAAACUGGAGCCUAUCAGAUUUGAAUACUUUCGUUUGUCAGAGCUUCCCUAUGAUAAGUUUGAACCUGGUGGGUUUUGAGUUGGCAAAAGUAGACAAGGGGAAAAAAAAUCAAGAAGGUACAUGCAAGCUCUGUGAGAGAUCUGAAGAAGAUUGUGGGAAAAAGCAGACUUUAUGUUGUCCCUCGUGCUGA
rnacentral:lncRNA from 1 species